rnacentral:rRNA from 1 species
UGUCAUGUUAUCGACAUGUGAAUUCAUAGCAUGUCAGAAGGCAGACCCGGAGAACUGAAACAUCUUAGUACCCGGAGGAAGAGAAAGAAAAAUCGAUUCCCUGAGUAGCGGCGAGCGAAACGGGAAGAGCCCAAACCAACAAGCUUGCUUGUUGGGGUUGUAGGACACUCUAUACGGAGUUACAAAAGAACAUGUUAGACGAAUCAUCUGGAAAGAUGAAUCAAAGAAGGUAAUAAUCCUGUAGUCGAAAACAUAUUCUCUCUUGAGUGGAUCCUGAGUACGACGGAGCACGUGAAAUUCCGUCGGAAUCUGGGAGGACCAUCUCCUAAGGCUAAAUACUCUCUAGUGACCGAUAGUGAACCAGUACCGUGAGGGAAAGGUGAAAAGUACCCCGGAAGGGGAGUGAAAGAGAACUUGAAACCGUGUGCUUACAAGUAGUCAGAGCCCGUUAAUGGGUGAUGGCGUGCCUUUUGUAGAAUGAACCGGCGAGUUACGAUCUGAUGCAAGGUUAAGCAGCAAAUGUGGAGCCGCAGCGAAAGCGAGUCUGAAUAGGGCGUUGAGUAUUUGGUCGUAGACCCGAAACCAGGUGAUCU